CCUACGGGGGGCAGCAGUGAGGAAUAGUGGGCAAUGGACGAGAGUCUGAACCAGCCAAGUAGCGUGAAGGAUGAAGGCCCGAGGGGGUGUAAACUUCUUUUAUAGGGGAAUAAAAUGUUCCACGUGUGGGAUUUUGUAUGUACCAUAUGAAUAAGGAUCGGCUAACUCCGUGCCAGCAGCCGCGGUAAUACGGAGGAUCCGAGCGUUAUCCGGAUUUAUUGGGUUUAAAGGGAGCGUAGGUGGGUUGUUAAGUCAGUUGUGAAAGUUUGCGGCUCAACCGUAAAAUUGCAGUUGAAACUGGCAGUCUGGAGUACAGUAGAGGUGGGCGGAAUUCGUGGUGUAGCGGUGAAAUGCUUAGAUAUCACGAAGAACUCCGAUUGCGAAGGCAGUUCACUGGACUGCAACUGACACUGAGGCUCGAAAGUGUGGGUAUCAAACAGGAUUAGAUACCCUUGUAGUC
rnacentral:rRNA from 1 species